UGUCUUUUUCCGCUUACUGGCG
ensembl:ncRNA